GGUCCCUUUUUCAGCUACACCAGCAAGUCUUCGGGCACAGCAGGGAGCUGUGGAGCGGGAGAAAAUGAACAUGGGAUUUGGUGUGUGAACAGCUCAUGGGGAAUGCGUAGAAGAAAAGGUUGUGUUGGGAGUAAAUGUUGACCUCUGCAAAGCUGAGGAAUGUCCAGGUUUUUGCUGCGAUACUGAACCUCUUUCUCUUUAGGCUAAUCUGUUUAGCUUGAAUCCAUGUGGGUAACUAUGUGCAUGUUUAGCAGGUGGAUGGAGCUGACUCAAGGAGAAAGCUGAGCAGCCUUGGAUACUGAGCUCUGAUUGGUGAGUCUAGAGCUCCAGUGUCCAUCCAGGCCAUUCCACCGGGGGAGCACUGGGAUCCGAAUUGGAGGGCAGUUCAUCUGAACAUGGGGACCAAACUUGUUUCAGAAGUGGCUCACCCUGCUUAUCCAGAACAGCAUCUGCCUCAACACACACAGAGGGGAUCCCACCUCACCCAACUACAAUAUGGGAACCACAGAACCCAGACCAUCAUUAUCCCAGCUCUGCAGCCAUCUGACUUCCGCAGCGCCAGGACAGCAUCGAUUCCA